rnacentral:misc_RNA from 1 species
AAAAGGACGCGCUCCGGCGCACUACUCCUCUCAGCCCGCGGCCGCGAGGCCCGGUCUUGAUUGAGUCCCUUAACCCUUUGUGAACUUUCAUACCUUUUUGCUUCGGCAGCGCGCCCCUCGCGGGGUUGGUAAGGCUGCCGACAGCCCAUUCAAACUAUAUUAUUUCAAAUCAUGAAGUCUGAUUACUGUUAAAUUUAAACAAGUUAAAACUUUCAGCAACGGAUCUCUUGGUUCU